GUGUCAGCCGCCGCGGUAAAACGUAGGAGGCAAGCGUUAUCCGGAGUUACUGGGCGUAAAGCGCGUGUAGGUGGGUUGGUAAGUUACUUAUGAAAGCCCUUGGCUAAACUAGGGGAGGUUGAGUGAUACUGCCAGUCUUGAAUAGAGGAGAGGUUGACGGAAUUCCGCGUGUAGUGGUGAAAUGCGUAGAGAUGCGGAAGAACACCAGUGGCGAAGGCGGUCAACUGGCCUCAUAUUGACACUCAGACGCGAAGGCAUGGGUAGCGAACGGGAUUAGAAACCCUCGUAGUCC
rnacentral:rRNA from 1 species